rnacentral:rRNA from 1 species
UACGGAGGAUCCAAGCGUUAUCCGGAUUCACUGGGUUUAAAGGGUGUGUAGGCGGGGCAUUAAGUCAGUGGUGAAAUCCUGUUGCUCAACAACAGAACUGCCAUAGAAACUGAUGCUCUUGAAUGUAGUUGAGGUAAGCGGAAUGUGUGGUGUAGCGGUGAAAUGCUUAGAUAUCACACAGAACACCAAUUGCGAAGGCAGCUUGCUAAGCUACGAUUGACGCUGAGACACGAAAGCGUGGGGAU